rnacentral:rRNA from 1 species
AGAGUUUGAUCCUGGCUCAGAACGAACGCUGGCGGCAGGCCUAAUACAUGCAAGUCGAGCGCAUCCUUCGGGAUGAGCGGCGGACGGGUGAGUAACGCGUGGGAAUAUGCCCUUCUCUAAGGAAUAGCCUCGGGAAACUGAGAGUAAUACCUUAUACGCCCUUCGGGGGAAAGAUUUAUCGGAGAAGGAUUAGCCCGCGUUAGAUUAGGUAGUUGGUGGGGUAAUGGCCUACCAAGCCUACGAUCUAUAGCUGGUUUGAGAGGAUGAUCAGCCACACUGGGACUGAGACACGGCCCAGACUCCUACGGGAGGCAGCAGUAGGGAAUCUUAGACAAUGGGGGAAACCCUGAUCUAGCCAUGCCGCGUGUGUGAUGAAGGCCUUAGGGUCGUAAAGCACUUUCGCCAGAGAUGAUAAUGACAGUAUCUGGUAAAGAAACCCCGGCCAACUCCGUGCCAGCAGCCGCGGUAAUACGGAGGGGGUUAGCGUUGUUCGGAAUUACUGGGCGUAAAGCGCACGUAGGCGGAUUAGUAAGUUAAGGGUGAAAUCCCAGGGCUCAACCCUGGAACUGCCUUUAAUACUGCUAGUCUUGAGUUCGAGAGAGGUAAGUGGAAUUCCAAGUGUAGAGGUGAAAUUCGUAGAUAUUUGGAGGAACACCAGUGGCGAAGGCGGCUUACUGGCUCGAAACUGACGCUGAGGUGCGAAAGUGUGGGGAGCAAACAGGAUUAGAUACCCUGGUAGUCCACACCGUAAACGAUGAAUGCCAGACGUCAGCAAGUAU